rnacentral:rRNA from 1 species
UACGAGGGGGGCGAGCGUUGUUCGGAAUUAUUGGGCGUAAAGGGUGCGUAGGCGGUUUGGUAAGUCAUAUGUGAAAUCUACAGGCUCAACUUGUAGUCUGCAUGAGAAACUGCCGGGCUUGAGUAUGGGAGAGGUGAGUGGAAUUCCUGGUGUAGCGGUGAAAUGCGUAGAUAUCAGGAGGAACACCUGUGGCGAAAGCGGCUCACUGGACCAUAACUGACGCUGAUGCACGAAAGCUAGGGGAGCAAACAGG